UCCGCAUGUCGUCCAAUGGCAGGGCACCCGUCUGAUAUGCGGGCGACGGUGGUUCGAUUCCAUCCAUGCGGAU
rnacentral:tRNA from 1 species